UUUUUUUUUUUUCGUCGGCAGUUAACUGCCAAAGGAACUUCGGUAGUUAACUGCCGCAGGGACUU
rnacentral:pre_miRNA from 1 species